rnacentral:rRNA from 1 species
GCCUCCCUCCGCGCCAUCAGACUCCUACGGGAGGCAGCAGUGGGGAAUAUUGGGCAAUGGGCGAAAGCCUGACCCAGCCAUGCCGCGUGAGUGAUGAAGGCCUUCGGGUCGUAAAGCUCUGUGGGGAGGGACGAAUAAGUCUGUGGCUAAUAUCCACGGACCUUGACGGUACCUCCCUAGCAAGCACCGGCUAACUCCGUGCCAGCAGCCGCGGUAAUAC